GAUAGUUCUUUUUCUGCAGUCUCUGUGUGAACGUGCAUAUAAAGGAUUUUCAGUGCAAAUGUGUAAAACAGCAUGAUGAAGGUCUAUGUCUUAGGAACUGCUGUUAUUUUUGCUGCCUUCAUUUCGUUAACUGAGAAAGGAAUCCCAUCGACGGCAUUUGCAAGUCCUAUUCCUGUGCCAACCUGGUCAGGCCAGCCGGGUGGCUCUAGUCGAAGGCAAGGGGCUGCUGCCUAUAGUAGCAACGCUUUGUCCCGUAGACAAGCACAGCAAAUUCAGAGCCAGCUCGCCGCUCAAAGACGCCAACAAGAGCAGCAACGACGACAACAACAGCAACGACAACAACAACAGCGACAACAACAAAGGAGACAAGGUUGAUACAAGCAGAAAUAUGACAAAUAUGUCGCCUUGUUUAGACGAAAAAUAUGCUAAGGAGGAGUGGUCAGACGUCCUCAAUCCAGGGCCCUACUGGGCUGUGCCGCCUGCUUGACCUGCCAAUUAAAGAUUUUUGUCCUGCCAAGUCGGAAUGGCCAAGCUGUUCC